rnacentral:rRNA from 2 species
UUUAUGGAGAGUUUGAUCCUGGCUCAGGAUGAACGCUGGCGGCGUGCCUAAUACAUGCAAGUCGAGCGAACGGACGAGAAGCUUGCUUCUCUGAUGUUAGCGGC